rnacentral:rRNA from 1 species
AGUGAACGCUGGCGGUAGGCCUAACACAUGCAAGUCGAACGGCAGCACAGGAGAGCUUGCUCUCUGGGUGGCGAGUGGCGGACGGGUGAGGAAUACAUCGGAAUCUACUCUGUCGUGGGGGAUAACGUAGGGAAACUUACGCUAAUACCGCAUACGACCUACGGGUGAAAGCAGGGGACCUUCGGGCCUUGCGCGAUUGAAUGAGCCGAUGUCGGAUUAGCUAGUUGGCGGGGUAAAGGCCCACCAAGGCGACGAUCCGUAGCUGGUCUGAGAGAAUAGACAGCCACACUGGAACUGAGGCACGGUCCAGACUCCUACGGGAGGCAGCAGGUGGGAAUAUUGGACAAUGGGCGCAAGCCUGAUCCAGCCAUACCGCGUGGGUGAAGAAGGCCUUCGGGUUGUAAAGCCCUUUUGUUGGGAAAGAAAGCCAGCUGGCUAAUACCCGGUUGGGAUGACGGUACCCAAAGAAUAAGCACCGGCUAACUUCGUGCCAGCCGCCGCAGUAA